rnacentral:rRNA from 1 species
CGGUUGAUCCUGCCGGACCCGACUGCUAUCAGAGUGGGACUAAGCCAUGCGAGUCAACGCCGAAAGGCGUGGCAUACGGCUCAGUAACACGUAGUCAACAUGCCCUAAGGACGUGGAUAACCUCGGGAAACUGAGGAUAAACCGCGAUAGGCCAAGGUUUCUGGAAUGAGCCAUGGCCGAAAUCUAUAUGGCCUUUGGAUUGGACUGCGGCCGAUCAGGCUGUUGGUGAGGUAAUGGCCCACCAAACCUGUAACCGGUACGGGCUUUGAGAGAAGGAGCCCGGAGAUGGGCACUGAGACAAGGGCCCAGGCCCUAUGGGGCGCAGCAGGCGCGAAACCUCUGCAAUAGGCGAAAGCUUGACAGGGUUACUCUGAGUGAUGCCCGCUAAGGGUAUCUUUUGGCACCUCUAAAAAUGGUGCAGAAUAAGGGGUGGGCAAGUCUGGUGUCAGCCGCCGCGGUAAUACCAGCACCCCGAGUUGUCGGGACGAUUAUUGGGCCUAAAGCAUCCGUAGCCUGUUCUGCAAGUCCUCCGUUAAAUCCACCUGCUCAACGGAUGGGCUGCGGAGGAUACCGCAGAGCUAGGAGGCGGGAGAGGCAAACGGUACUCAGUGGGUAGGGGUAAAAUCCAUUGAUCUACUGAAGACCACCAG